CAUUUGUGUAGCUUACUCUGCAAAGGUAUGUUUUGGUAUUUUACUCUCGCCUUAUCUAUUUAAUUCUGGUUGUGGGAGGAUAAAAAGUUUGUGUCACAUAGAAAAUUUUUAUUUGUUUUUCUAUUCAUUAUUUUGAUUGUUUUAGUGACUGGAUCUUAACUAUCAGGGUAACCUGGAUUAGGCUUCUUUUAUGCAGUAGUAAAUUCACAGUGCCAGCAUCUGCGGUUAUUCUGUUAAUUGCUUCUCCUUCUUGGAUAAAAUUUUUUAUAAGCUAUUAAUAAUUGUUGGGUAGAAUCUUUAUAUUAUCUUAAAACUAGCUUAUAAUCUUUAUUUUUGGGCUUUAAAAAGAAAAGGAUUAGAGACCCUUGUAUUUGGUUUAUUACUUUUAUUCCCUAGUUGUAACUAAAAGGAUUUGGCAGCCGACGAAGUUCUUCCGGGGGAGUGUGUUUCAUAAGAGAUAAUCCGCUUAUUAUUUUACCAUCUUUAUGUUAGUGUAUAUCCGGUUUAAGAUUUAUAGUUAUUGCUAGUAAGUGUAAUUAUUUUUAUUAAAGCCAGGUCGAUGUGCUGCUUAUGGGAUGGUGAUUGUGCACUACUUUUUUAAAAAGGGUAUAUUGAAAAUUAUUCUUUUAUUUAGGACUCGGAAGUAGGUAGUUUUAGUUUGUGCUAUCGAAGCUUGAUUUAGUUGGGGUACACACCGCCCGUCACCCAGGGUGUUAGCUGUGGUAAGUCGUAACAUGGUAAUGCUUGGGGAACCAGGCGUUAGUUGAUU
rnacentral:rRNA from 1 species